UACGGGGGGGAGCAAGCGUUGUUCGGAUUUACUGGGCGUAAAGGGCGCGUAGGCGGUCGUGACAAGUCACUUGUGAAAUCUCCGGGCUUAACUCGGAACGGUCAAGUGAUACUGUCGGACUAGAGUACAGAAGGGGCAACUGGAAUUCUCGGUGUAGCGGUGAAAUGCGUAGAUAUUGGGAAGAACACCUGAGGCGAAGGCGGGUUGCUGGGCCGACACUGACGCUGAGGCGCGAAAGCCAGGGGAGCAAACGGG
rnacentral:rRNA from 1 species